rnacentral:rRNA from 1 species
UACGUAGGGGGCAAGCGUUGUCCGGAUUUAUUGGGCGUAAAGAGCGUGUAGGCGGCCAGAUAGGUCCGUUGUGAAAACUCGAGGCUCAACCUCGAGACGCCGAUGGAAACCAUUUGGCUAGAGUCCGGAAGAGGAGAGUGGAAUUCCACGUGUAGCGGUGAAAUGCGUAGAGAUGUGGAGGAACACCAGUGGCGAAGGCGACUCUUUGGCCUGUAACCGACGCUGAGGCGCGAAAGCGUGGGGAGCAAACAGG